UACGUAGGGUGCGAGCGUUGUCCGGAAUUAUUGGGCGUAAAGAGCUUGUAGGCGGUUUGUCGCGUCUGCUGUGAAAAUCCGGGGCUCAACCCCGGACUUGCAGUGGGUACGGGGCAGACUAGAGUGUGGUAGGGGGAGACUGGAAUUCCUGGUGUAGCGGUGGAAUGCGCAGAUAUCAGGAGGAACACCGAUGGCGAAGGCAGGUCUCUGGGCCACUACUGACGCUGAGAAGCGAAAGCAUGGGGGAGCGAACAGG
rnacentral:rRNA from 1 species